UUCUUUAUUUACAUUUCAAAUGUUAUCCCCUUUCCUGGUUUCCCCUCCGAAAACCCCCUAUCAAGCAAGGGCUCUAAUGCUGGCCUGGUGGUCCUACCUAGCAACCACGUGGGGGCAACUGACCUCACCCAGAGGUGCAGCCAAGCCCAGAGUGCCCGCUGGAGGGGGUAGGUGGGUGACUGGGUGCAUGGCUACUCGUGCCUGGCUGUGCGCCCUUCUUUCUCUUAAGGAAAUUCUUUUCAUGCGGUCCACACAAUAAAGUACAUUUACACCAGAGUGGAGAUCUGGUCCGUGGAGAUCAGAAAGAAGCUGGCACGCAUUCCUCCGUACUAAGCAACCAAUCCCUAAAAAAAACAAAACAAAACCCCAAAACACAAACAAAACAAAAAAACAAGAAAAAGCCCAAAUCAAAUCAAAACCAAACCAAACCAAACCAAACCAAACCAAACCAAAAACGCCAUCAGAACAAUCUCAGCUUGCAGCCGCCCCAGGAACUUCCUGGUUCUGCAUAGCCACGCCUCCCGUUACUAUGGUAAUGGGUCCCUCCCCCCUCCCCUCCGAAAGCCAACCUUGCUUCAGCUAAAACGUGUAGGCAAGCGUUCUCCUCCUUGAUACUGAUGGCUUUGCUUAUAGAAUUUCUUCCUUUCCCUCCCUCGGUAGGUCUCGUUGGCUAACCUUAUUCCUCACGGUAUUAAAACCUUUUUGUUGUUGUUGUUUUGUUUGUUUGUAUUUUUGUUUUUGUUCUGUAGUUUUGUUUCGUUUUGGUAGUUUCAUUAAAAAAAGCUUUUCAGAAAAAAAAAAAAUUUAGAUGUGCAUUGGCCGGGAAUCGAACCCGGGCCUCCCGCGUGGCAGGCGAGAAUUCUACCACUGAACCACCAAUGCCACUUAGUUGCUGGUGCCUUUUUAUAAAACUACUGGAAGUGGCAGUGAUGGGCGUUCCCGGUUCUGAUGACAGCAUUCUAAAUUAUAAGUGACUGGAUUGACAUCCCACAACGCAUGUGCUUUGUCAGCUGACGCCCUUUCCCAGUCUUCUAGGACUCAAGCUCGGCUGCCUCCUGCCCAUCCGGGUUCCAGAGUCUCAGCGGAUGCUCCCGAUCUUAAGGUGCUUUUCUGCAGGAAACAGGCUUGAGUUUACUGAGCACCCAAUAACUCAGAGCUUUAAGCCGAAGAGGGUGAUAAAAUAGGCACCUUGUCUAAGGGGAAUUAAUUGAGAACUGGGUCUUAGUCCUCACUACUUGCCUCUUCCAGUGUGUCGUUAGAGGACAGUAUCUUUCUAAGCAGUCGAUGGGGUUUCAGACCCAUGGAGUCUUACUGUAAAUGUUUGCAUGUGACUCUGAUUAAGGUAUGGAUCAGAUUCUCUCUACAGCAGGUCCCCUAAUUUGGGGGAUGAGUUCCUAGGUUCCUAUGGAUGUCUGGAACUGGACUGUAGUAAACCCUAGAUGUGUUACAUAUUCCCGUAAAUCCAUGCAUACCUGUGAUAACUUUUACUUUGGUGAUACAUUUUACUUAGAAAUUAGGAGCGGUAGAAGUUGACAACUGAUUAAAAUAGAAAACAAAAACAAUAGACUGUAAUCAGGAUAUGUGCAUGUGUUGUUCUUAAAAUCACUUUCUACCCUUUUACUUAACAGGAAGCGCUUCACAGUUAGUUUCUCUCGUGUGUCUAAAAUAACAGCGGUGCAACUUCUGCACUUCAGGACUUUAUUAAGUUAAAUGAAGUGUACUUGGACACAGGCACUGAGGCACCUACUUACCAAGAGGCUGACAACUAACAGGUGCUGGAUUUAAAGGCAAUCACCACCACACCAUUAUGCACCACAUGUCGAUGGAGACAGUUCUGAGAUGAGUCCUCAGUGAUUUCAUGGUUGUAACACCACAGAAUAUACCUGCAGAUACCCUAGUGGUAUAGAUGACUAUCCAUCUUGGCUUCAUUGGCUGUAAAUAUGUACAUGGUAUUGCUUACUGUCCCCAGGGCCACAAUAAAUAAAAGUUCAUGAGACCAAACCAGGCAUGACAGAAAAUGAUGCAAUGAAGGGUGACAGAAAGUACAAGUCCUGAGGUCACUGCUCACACGCCGUGGUGUGCAGUGUUGUAGUAAUCAUGCGUCUUUGUAAGUAGGGGCAGUGGAGGCUGGGGAGAUGGCUCAGUCAGCAAAUAGCUUGUGUGUCAGCAUGAGAACAAGAAUGAUACAGGUUCAAGGUGAAAUCCUGCCUUGGGAGAUAAGGUGGAGAGCUACCAAGGAGGAUGCUGAUGUUCACCUCUGGCCUCUGCAUGUAUAUGUACCCACAUACAUGUACACACAUACACACAUGUGCACAAGAUAAAUGAGUAGCAGAGUUGUUUUAAAAUAAUAAGAGUAUGUACAGUAAAACCACAAACCGCUCAUCCUUGUCAAGUACCCCGUACUGUGUGUAGCUGUGUGGUGUAAGGUCAUGAGAGAGGCAGGGCAGCGGGUUGGUUUACACAGCAUCUCAGCACUCAUAUGAAAAGUGCCUUGCACACCAUAAUGACAUCAGCAUCACCAGGCUCAGCGCCAUCACAGUCCUAUGAGACGCUGCUGCAUAGCACAUGACUGUGUACAUAUGAAUAAAAUUGAGGCUGAAGAACCUUUAUUAGAAAUAAGAGAAUAUUCUCCAACUGGGAGUGACAUGCCAGCUGUAUUUUGAAUGAAUGGUACUUAGGGGGCUUAGUUAUCUUAAUGCUAAAGGGGUAUACUACUUGAAGUCAGUGUUUUACCAAGCAACGUGGUAUAUACAUGGUUGAAAUUCAAUGUUUUAGCACAGUUUACACAUACCAAAACAUGUGAAAGGCCAAGAGGCUAUCAACUUGAUUUUAACAUUAAGAUCGCCUCAGUGAUAUUAGCAGCAUAGCCUAUGUGACAGUUUCUCCAUUUAGAUUCAUGGCUUGUGAUGUGGAGGCUCUAGCAACAGGUCCACUCUAUCUGUUUUUAGUAUCUUGUACUGUUGGGACUUUACCCAUUGGUCCACCCUGUCUGUAGUCAGUGGCUUAUGAUGGAGGGACUCUCCUCCUGUGUCCUUUGUAGAUGGUGGAUUGGAACAUCACUUCUCAUAUGGUUCCUUUUUGCAAAUGCUCUCCAUCUGUGUUGUAGGCAUGAUACGUUUUAAAUUGUGUGAAAAAUUCUUUAAAAAUUAUUCCAUUGACCACAUACACACUCUCCUGUUGUUCUGAUUUGUGAUGAACCACAAAAGAUACUAGCAGGUGACCUACUGGCCACGACCGGGUACUCUGAAUGUCCUUGCUGUCUCCAGUAAGGACAUAUGUGAUCUUUCACAACUCCUCACCCUUUUCCUCAUUGGACUCUGCUUGAGACCAUUGGGAAAUGCGCUCUGUAGGCCAUUUGCCUUCCAAGUUUGAAAAGGGAACAGACAUUGAAACAUGUGAGUGACUGGGAACUGGCAAACCUUCUGCCAACCUGUGACAACUGGGGGGCUUGCCAACUUGCUUCUGGGUGUUAUUUGGCAUAUACACUGACACAAAUGUUAUGUCUAUCAGCUUCUCUAGGUAAGUGGUUCUCAGCCUAUGGAUUGUGACCCCUUUGGGGGUAGAAAAACCCUUUCAACAGGGGUCGACUUAGACCAUUAGAAAACAGGGAUAUUUACAUUAGGAUUCAAAACAGUAGCAAAAUCAGUUACAAGAAAAUAAUUUUAUCAUGGGGAGGGGGUCACUGCAACAUUGGAAUUGUUUUAAAGCAUCGCAGCAUUAGGAAAGUUGAGAACUACUACUCGAGGCUCAUCUUUUCUUAAGGGUUCGAUGGAGAGGGGACAGAACAAAUAAAUAAGACCCAACUCCUGGGGUCCAUGUUUCUUUAGGGAAAGUGGUUCCAUUUCAUGUGAGCUUUGUUCCUCCUGGACCCAGCACUGGCUGACAUCAUUCUUGUCACUAUUACAGGUCGUCCAACAUGUCCUCUGGAUGGAGAGAAGCUUUUGAGUCACUUGGGGAAGUAGCUCUUUGCAGAGGAGAUAAUGCUAGGUUCCAAGGCUGAGUGCCAAUAGACUGUCAGGACACUGGCAAGGCAUGACAGUGCAUGUGUACAGCAGUCCAUCCGUGUGCCUCUAUAUCGACAUUUUAACAUUUCAGAUACUUUGACUCUUAGUUUUGUUUUAUUAGUGUGCAUACCCCAAAGUAACUAAGCAUCAGACUUAAGGAACACUUGUUAGGAAAGAAACAGGUCAAUCAGUUAGUCAAAAUGGUUUGCUGAAGGUCUUAACAACAUGUGGUUAUAGCCUGGCACCACUGAAGAGUCAGAGCAGGAGCCUUUAAGAGUCAAAGAGAAAGUUAAACUCGGUUCUCUCACAUGCUGGCAUCUGAAGUUAAGCCAGCAGAAACAAGAGGUUCAGGCUGGGCUAACUCUCCCUUCGCCCCCUCCAGCACUUACAAGAGGAGACACAGAACCAUGUCCAAGCAGUUUGCAAGGAUGGUUAAGACACACUCCUUGGACUCGAAAGCCAGUGAAAACAAAACCCAUGAGGACAUUGCUGGAUGAAGGGCCUCUUCUGCAAGAGAGAAGUGUGCAAAGAAGAUUGAAGGCACCAAGUCAUACCCUCUGCCACCUCAGGAUGCUUCGGAGUGCCUCCGCCUGCCAAGAGAUCCCCUCCAAAUGAGGCCUCUUGACCUCAGACUUUCCAGCUUCUGGAACCGCUGACUGAGUGAACGUGUAUUAUGUAUAAAUGAUCCAUUUCCUGGUAUUUGGUUGUAGCAACAGAAAACUGACUACGGCAGACAUAUUGAGCUCCGAUUGUUUGUGAGCAACAUGGAAAUGUCAGCAGCUGUUGAGUUCUCCUUUCUAACCUCAGGAGAAAGGACUGGGUAGAAAACAAGGAUUAGAGACGAUAAAGAAACCUAGGCAGAGGACACCAUUUCAGAAAGCACUGUCAACCAGGCAAAGGCCACAAUGCCUUCCGUGUUUAACCCUUUCAACGGCCAAAUAAAGUUGAUAACCACCAUAAUUUUGAUAGGAUAGACUAUGUAUGUCAUUCGGUCUCCUUGCACUUCUAUUCCUGGGUUUCCACCCUUUCUGUGACUAU